AAAUUGAAGAGUUUGAUCAUGGCUCAGAUUGAACGCUGGCGGCAGGCCUAACACAUGCAAGUCGAACGGUAGCACAGAGAGCUUGCUCUCGGGUGACGAGUGGCGGACGGGUGAGUAAUGUCUGGGAAACUGCCUGAUGGAGGGGGAUAACUACUGGAAACGGUGGCUAAUACCGCAUAACGUCGCAAGACCAAAGAGGGGGACCUUCGGGCCUCUUGCCAUCAGAUGUGCCCAGAUGGGAUUAGCUGGUUGGUGAGGUAACGGCUCACCAAGGCGACGAUCCCUAGCUGGUCUGAGAGGAUGACCAGCCACACUGGAACUGAGACACGGUCCAGACUCCUACGGGAGGCAGCAGUGGGGAAUAUUGCACAAUGGGCGCAAGCCUGAUGCAGCCAUGCCGCGUGUAUGAAGAAGGCCUUCGGGUUGUAAAGUACUUUCAGCGGGGAGGAAGGUGUUGUGGUUAAUAACCGCAGCAAUUGACGUUACCCGCAGAAGAAGCACCGGCUAACUCCGUGCCAGCAGCCGCGGUAAUACGGAGGGUGCAAGCGUUAAUCGGAAUUACUGGGCGUAAAGCGCACGCAGGCGGUCUGUCAAGUCGGAUGUGAAAUCCCCGGGCUCAACCUGGGAACUGCAUUCGAAACUGGCAGGCUUGAGUCUUGUAGAGGGGGGUAGAAUUCCAGGUGUAGCGGUGAAAUGCGUAGAGAUCUGGAGGAAUACCGGUGGCGAAGGCGGCCCCCUGGACAAAGACUGACGCUCAGGUGCGAAAGCGUGGGGAGCAAACAGGAUUAGAUACCCUGGUAGUCCACGCCGUAAACGAUGUCUACUUGGAGGUUGUGCCCUUGAGGCGUGGCUUCCGGAGCUAACGCGUUAAGUAGACCGCCUGGGGAGUACGGCCGCAAGGUUAAAACUCAAAUGAAUUGACGGGGGCCCGCACAAGCGGUGGAGCAUGUGGUUUAAUUCGAUGCAACGCGAAGAACCUUACCUGGUCUUGACAUCCACGGAAGUUUUCAGAGAUGAGAAUGUGCCUUCGGGAACCGUGAGACAGGUGCUGCAUGGCUGUCGUCAGCUCGUGUUGUGAAAUGUUGGGUUAAGUCCCGCAACGAGCGCAACCCUUAUCCUUUGUUGCCAGCGAUUCGGUCGGGAACUCAAAGGAGACUGCCAGUGAUAAACUGGAGGAAGGUGGGGAUGACGUCAAGUCAUCAUGGCCCUUACGACCAGGGCUACACACGUGCUACAAUGGCGCAUACAAAGAGAAGCGACCUCGCGAGAGCAAGCGGACCUCAUAAAGUGCGUCGUAGUCCGGAUUGGAGUCUGCAACUCGACUCCAUGAAGUCGGAAUCGCUAGUAAUCGUGGAUCAGAAUGCCACGGUGAAUACGUUCCCGGGCCUUGUACACACCGCCCGUCACACCAUGGGAGUGGGUUGCAAAAGAAGUAGGUAGCUUAACCUUCGGGAGGGCGCUUACCACUUUGUGAUUCAUGACUGGGGUGAAGUCGUAACAAGGUAACCGUAGGGGAACCUGCGGUUGGAUCACCUCCUUA
rnacentral:rRNA from 1 species